rnacentral:lncRNA from 1 species
GAAUUGUCCGGUUGGAAUAUUACUGAAGAUUUAUGUUAAAAACAUCAUAAAGAUUGAUGCUAUACAUCGUUUGACAUAUUUCUACGAACGUAAAUAUAACUUUUUUUGACUUUUCGUCGUGACAUUUUCACGCACUUCCUGCAUUUGGAGUAGUAGACUGAACGCGCGAACAAAAAGGAGGUAUUUGGACAUAAAUGAUGGACUUUAUCGAACAAAACAAACAUUUAUUGUGGACCUGGGAUUCCUAGGAGUGUAUUCUGAUGAAGAUCAUCAAAGGAAGUGAGGUGUACCAUCUCAGGCGAUAUACAAUAGACGUUGCUGCCUUUGGGGAAAGUACUAUGGAAUAAUGCCGUGGAAUUCAUUCUCCUGCCUCCAGGACCUGAGCCCUAGGACCAUGCCUCAGGACUACCUGGCUUGAUGACUCCUUGCUGUCCCCAGCUCACCUGGCCGUGCUGCUGCUCCAGUUCUAACUGUUCUGCCUGCAGCUAUGGAACCCUGACCUGUUCACCGGACGUGCUACCUGUCCCAGACCUGUUGUCCCAGACCUGCUGGAACCCUGACCUAUUCACCGGACAUGCUACCUGUCCCAGACCUGCUGUUUUCAACUCUCUAGAGACAGCAGGAGCGGUAGAGAUACUCUCAAAGGUCGGCUAUGAAAAAGCCAACUGACACUUACUCUUGUGUUGCUGACUUGUUGCACCCUCGACAACUACUAUGAUUAUUAUUAUUUGACAAUGCUGGUCAUUUAUGAACAUUUGAACAUCUAGGCCAUGUGCUGUUAUAAUCUCCACCCGGCACAGCCAGAAGAGGACUGGCCACCCCUCAUAGCCUGGUUCCUCUCUAGGUUUCUUCCUAGGUUUUGGCCUUUCUAGGGAGUUUUUCCUAGCCACCGUGCUUCUACACCUGCAUUGCUUGCUGUUUGGGGUUUUAGGCUGGGUUUCUGUACAGCACUUUGAGAUAUCAGCUGAUGUAAGAAGGGCUAUAUAAAU